UACGUAGGGGGCGAGCGUUAUCCGGAUUUACUGGGCGUAAAGCGCGUUAAGGCGGUUGGCAAAGUUGGUGGUGAAAUCUCAGGGCUCAACCCUGAAACUGCCUCCAAUACUGGUCGACUAGAGUGCAAGAGAGGAAGGUGGAAUUCCCGGUGUAGUAGUGAAAUGCGUAGAUAUCGGGAGGAACACCAGUGGCGAAGGCGGCCUUCUGGCUUGCAACUGACGCUGUAGCGCGAAAGCGUGGGGAGCGAACGGG
rnacentral:rRNA from 1 species